rfam:Erinaceus europaeus unplaced genomic scaffold scaffold00973, whole genome shotgun sequence
GAAUGUGAGGGCGAUCUGGCUGUGACAUCUGUCACCCCCCCAUUGAUCGCCAGGGUUGAUUCGGCUGAUCUGGCUGGCUAGGCGGGUGUCCCCUUCCUCCCUCACCGCUCCAUCUGCAUCUCUCCCGAAGUUGCACGCUCAGUUGAAGAGGACGGCCUUCCCCGAAUAGAGACGGACCGGUCUUUGGUUGAGGGGUAUACGAGUAGCUGCGCUCCCCUGCUGGAACCUCCAAACAAGCUCUCAAGAACCGAUGAGGAAGAGAAGAUGGAAAGGAGUCUAGCAACUUAAAAUCUCAUAGGAUUCUUUGUGAAAUGACCUUUUUC